rnacentral:sRNA from 1 species
GGAACCACAGAUACUUGAUAUUAUCUCAGUAAAAAAGUCAUACUAGCCAAUUAAAAUCAGGACCCACUUUGACUUCAGUAACUGUUGGAGCACAUACAACCAAGGAUAGUGUGGUUUUGGUUAAUAAGAUCAGAAGCAGAGGGAACACGGCUGAGUAGGAUAAGGAUUAAGAAUUAUAUGGACUUUGAAUGAUAAUUCAGGUGGGUGAAGUAGCUGGGAGAGGAAAGAUGAUACUGCUAUCAUCCAAAGAGUUUAGAGAUUGUUACAUCUAUGAAAGGUCACAAUUGAAAAGUAAAAGGAGCCAGGGAUAGGGAUGAUAGAAAGGUGAUCAGACAGGAGUAGGAGGCUGGAAGAUAUAAUGUAAAGAAUGCCUUAUAGUAAACUGGGUGAAGGGGAUGAAUAACCCUAAAAUAUAACAGCAAUGAUGAAAGUAAAACCACAUGAGGCAUAAGUAAGAAUACGAACUAAAUAAUAGAAAGCAAUUAAUAAAGAGAUGCCUAUGGAUGAAUUGCUGACACCACUGUGCUGAGCUGAAGGUGAUGUUCUCACCCCUCUGGUUCCCAGAGUCUCCAUUUGGUGCUGUUUCUGAGUCAUUUUAAAUUAGUAGUUUUCAUGGUGGGCAGCUUGUUCCGUAGAGAAAACAUGCCGAUAUUUGCAAGAUUUUUUUUCUUUCUGAAACUCAAGGGUAGGUGGAAUGGUAAUGGUGGGAUCUUUGAAGAGAAGCCCAGGAUGCUGCUAAACUCAGCACAGGACAGUCCACUCAAGUGAAGAACCCCGCCCAUGAAAUGGAGCCCUCCACAUUCAGGGGGAUUCUUCUCUACUCAGUUGAACUUCUGUGGAAAUACCCUCACAGAUGUAUCUAGAGUGAGGAGAUCCACACAACCAUGGAAGGAUCAACUGAGAGAAUGUCUACAAAUCACCUAGGAGAAAAAGCAGCACAAGAAACUGGAGACCAAUGGUGAUUCUUUAUGCAAGAAAGCAGCAGAGUGCCAAUCACACUGGAAGGGAUGUCCUGGAACCAAGACUGACUAAUGAAUUCACCAAGAAAUGAUUAAUGCCGGAAAUAAAUGAUCUAGAUGUACCUUUUUAAUUUCUUUCCUCACUUUCACUCUGUUAACCGACUCAUUCCCAGGCCUCAUCGUUUCUACUUAUAGGAAUUGGACUCUGACUUGUCAGAGAGGUCAGGGUAGGAUGUUAACACCAGCAGGACUCACAGCUCUUAAAAAACUGUGACUGAAAUCCUGAGAACUUUGGUUAACCAUGCGUUUGAGGCAUUGCUAUUUAUCUAAAGGGUAAUUAUAUUAUAAGGAACAGCAUCAGUUUCCGGGUUUGAAUCCUGCUUCUAUUUCUGACUGAUACAGUACUGUAUCAGUACUAAUACUAAUCACAAAUUCUAAUACUGAAACUUUCAAUGCUAACAAUGCUAACUCCUUAGGCUACGAGGAUCAACUGUUUAUUAAACAAAGCGCAGGCACCCCAUGAUAGCAGAAAGGCUAAGUAUGCUACUUCUAGUCCUCCUUUAAAGUAUUUUUUAAAGUAAUUCUAUUUCCCAGUCAACUUAAUACAAAGAUGGGCUCUGGAAAUCGUUGGAUGAAAAAGACUGAACUUUGUGCCCCCUUUGGAGGUGGCUAAGGCAAUUGGAGAGAACCCAGGGACAAUAGGAUCCUGUAAUUAGAUUACACGGUGGCCAGAGGUCAAAACCGGGGAGCAAGCAGAACUUUCCUUCAAGGGUCAGUGGUCAAGCACAAGCUGAGUUCAGCCAUAUUUGCUGUGAAGCCCCUGGAGGGAUCCUAGGGGAAAAGUAAAGCGCAGGAGGCCAUGAACCAGGUUCCCGGAUCACUGUGGCUGGCAUGAGAUCUCUGCUGUUGUCUGCAACUUUCUUUCUCUAGUAUGGAGAAUGAGCCUCUAAAAGCUAAGUUGAAUCUGCCAUUCCUAUCUUCAAACCCCUAGAGAGCCCAACUAACCCAACUUCCUGGAAAGGGUCCAUGAGUCUCUAUAGUUACCAGAGUACCCACUCUCCUCCGACCACCACUAGCCUUCUUUCUUUAUUUUUUUUUAAAUAUUUUGCAGUUUUGCAUUUACUUAUUUUUUCGGGGGUAGGGCGCAUGUGUGGGGGGUCACAGGACAAGUAGGAGUCAGCUAGCUCUUUCGCCAAGUGGGUCCAAGGAAAUA